rnacentral:rRNA from 1 species
UACGGGGGGGGCAAGCGUUGUUCGGAAUUACUGGGCGUAAAGGGCUCGUAGGCGGCCAACUAAGUCAGACGUGAAAUCCCUCGGCUUAACCGGGGAACUGCGUCUGAUACUGGAUGGCUUGAGGUUGGGAGAGGGAUGCGGAAUUCCAGGUGUAGCGGUGAAAUGCGUAGAUAUCUGGAGGAACACCAGUGGCGAAAGCGGCUUCCUGGUCCAGCACCGACGUUCAGGUACGAAAGCAUGGGGAACAAACAGG